GUGGAACCGGAGAGAGUUGACGUAGUCAGGUAACUAAGUUUGCCAAAGUCGCUUGAUUGUGACCGAGGGAGAAGUAUGUUGCCUACGGCUGCGCUGACAGCACUGGCUGUGCGUUCCGAACCGUCUGCGUUGCCCACCUCGGUGGUGUCUUGCUUUCGGGUAGGUUUGUCGUGGCUA
rnacentral:rRNA from 1 species